AUUUAAAUAGCUUAUUUAGAGCAUAGUAUUGAAGAUACUAGGGAAUCUUUAUGAUUUUAAGUA
rnacentral:tRNA from 2 species